AGGACGAACGCUGGCGGCGUGCUUAACACAUGCAAGUCGAGCGGAAAGGCCCUUCGGGGUACUCGAGCGGCGAACGGGUGAGUAACACGUGAGCAAUCUGCCCCUAGCUCUGGGAUAGCUCCGGGAAACCGGGAUUAAUACCAGAUACAACCACUUUAGACAUCUUUUGUGGUGGAAAGGAUUCCGGCUAGGGAUGAGCUCGCGGCCUAUCAGCUUGUUGGUUGGGGUAACGGCCCACCAAGGCGACGACGGGUAGCCGGCCUGAGAGGGCGACCGGCCACACUGGGACUGAGACACGGCCCAGACUCCUACGGGAGGCAGCAGUGGGGAAUAUUGCGCAAUGGGCGAAAGCCUGACGCAGCGACGCCGCGUGGGGGAUGAAGGCCUUCGGGUUGUAAACCCCUUUCAGCAGGACGAAGCGAAAGUGACGGUACCUGCAGAAGAAGCGCCGGCUAACUACGUGCCAGCAGCCGC
rnacentral:rRNA from 1 species